UUAAAUGAUAAAAUUUUGUUGUCUAUAAACCAGUGUUAUCUAUGAACUAACAUUGUGUUUCUUAGCUCUGAUCUGAACAUUGAGGUACCUGUCUUGGCACUGGAAAUGACAAAGUUCUGUUACUGAAUUCCCAUGCCUUCCUUUUCUGACUUAGUAGGUUGAAAUUGGUAGGUACUGUUGAUUUAUGUUUGAUAAAUUUACAGUUCAGCUUAUAUCCUGUUAUCAGUAAACCUGGUACCAGAAUCUUAAAAGAUUUGAUUAUUCGUAGCAUUUCGAGUACCUAUCUGCAUAAAAUAUAGUUAGCAGACCUUUACAGAAGUCAAAAGAGACUUUGGAAUUUGAUGAUAUUGGUCUUUAUUACACUAGUUUAUUACAUUUUCUUUCUUUAUAGUAACUGUUUUUGUGAGUUUCAUUGAAAGUCAUGGCUCUAUUGCUUUAUUCAUGGUUUCCACAACUCUUUCUGUAAAAUCUUAAUUUUCUCUAUUAGGUAAAGUAUUUUUCUAUUAAAUAAGAUAUCAAAAGCAUCAAUCACAAGACAUAGAGAAAAUGAAUUGGGAACAACUUGUAUUAGUGUAUUCUAAACUAAAAUGGAAAAAACUCAUUCAUAUUUUAAUAAAUAAAACUUCCAGAUGAUCUUGCUAAAUUACCCCAUUAUUUAGAAACAGAAAGAGAAGAAUGUUUUCGAGGAAAUUUGUCAUAUUCUCUCUUCUAUCUAGAAGUUGACAAUAAAUUGCAGUAAAACUAAGAAAUAACUGAAUGCUGAAAAAUACCAUGAAUUAAUUAAUGUUAUGGCUUCUUUAUUUUUCUAUAUUCAUUCCCAGAAAAUUGAAUUUAAAAUUAUUAAUAAAAAUUUUAUAAUAAGUAAUAAUGCUUAUAUUAGUAAUGGGCAAGGAAGUCUUUCAUUGUUACCUUAACCACAAGUAAAAGAUGUACUUUGACAUUUCUAUUGUAAAACCUGUAUGUAAAUGUUGUAAUUGAAAUAUGAUUGGACAGCUGUUAAAUUUUGGGGAGGGAAGCCUCUGCUUCUAUGCCAGCGUGCCAAAAUGGCUAAGAUGCCAGCGUUCUAUACUGAAAAGACAAGAUGGCACUUCAUGGACCAUAGCAGAUGGAACUGGAGGAGGAAAAGGCAGACAGAGGACUGUGCCAGUAUUAUCUGUCCAAGAUUGAAGAACUCUAGGGUCAGCUGCAAUUGAUUGUAAAUGAUAAGGCCUAAAAUCUUUGGAGGCAGCAGGUACACAGGAAUGAACUAAAUGCUCAAGUGUGCCUACUGUGAGAGGAGCUACAGCUGCUGCAAGAACAGAACUUCUGUGUCAGGGAAGUAGUCCAGGCCAUGACUAAGAAGAAAGUGUUGGUCCAGGUGCAUCCCAAGGACAAGUUUGUUGUAGAUGUAGACAAAAAUAUCAGCAUCAGUGAUGUGACACCCAGUUCCUGGGUGGUUCUAAGAAAUGAUAGCUACACUUUAUACAAGAUCCUACCCAACAAGGUGGACCCAUUGGUGUCAAUGAUGAUGGUGAAGGAAGUUCCAGAUUUGACUUAUGAAAUGAUUGGCAGACUGACUGGACAGGCAGAUGAAGGAGAUCAAAGAAGUGAUCGAGCUGCCCAAAAAGCAUCCCCAGCUCUUCAAAGUGCACUGGGCAUUGCCCAGCCCAACGGAGUGCUGCUUGGAAGACACUGUUGGCCUGGGCUCUCUGGCUCAUCAUAGGGACUGUACCUUUAUUCAUGUCUCUGGCUCUGAAUUGGGACAGAAAUUCAUUGGGGAAUUCCUGUCAUGACAGAGAAAAUGCUCAUCUGUCAUCUUCAUGGAUGAAAUCGACUCCAUCGGCUCCUCUCAGCUGGAGGGGAUUGCUUCACUGGAGGGAACAGUGAAGUGCAGCAGACGAUGCUUUAAGGAUGGCUUUGAGGCCACCAAGAAUAUCAGGGUUUAUCAUGGCUACUAAAACGAUUGAUAUCCUGGACUUGGCAAUGCUUUUUCCAGGGGACAUUGAGAGAGAAAUUGAAUUGCCACCCUGCAAUGAGGAGGCCCUGCUGGACACUUUCAAGAUUGAUUCUCAGAAAUGAACCUGACCAAGGGAAUCAACCUGAGAAAAAUUGCUGAGCUUAUGUCAGGAGCAUCGGGCUGAAAUGAAGGGCAUGUGCACAGAAACCAGCCUGUAUGCCCUGAGGUAAUAGCGAGUCCAUGUCACUCAGAAGGACUUUGAGAUAGUGGUAGCCAAAGUCAUGCCAGAAGACAGUGAGGACAAACACAUCCAUCAAGAAACUGUGGAAUUGAGUAGACAUCUGUUGUAUGUAUCCCUACAAUAAAGCUCUAUGGAACAAGCAAAACAAAACAAAAAAAAAUGUUUUGGGGAGGGGUGGUCUGCUAUUGAUUAUUGCAUAAUCAAUAACUUGUAAAAUUUAGCUUGUAUUUAGUAACAUUUCAUUAUGUUUUGAAAAGAAGAGUAAAAAACACCACGGUUUUCAUGAUGUAAAAGGUAUUGAGUUUCCUAGCAUAAGAACAUGAGUUCUGGAAAAAGUCUUAGGGACAUUGAACAAGAUAAAGGUCCCCUCCCCCACUUUGUUUGUAAAAAGAGAUACUAAUGCCUACAUCAGAGUUGGUGUGAGGAUUAAAUUAAAAAGUGCAUGUAUAUAAGCACCAGACACAUAGUAAGCACUUAAUAAUGUUAGUGGCUAGUAUAAAUAAUAAACACAUUCUCUCCAGUCAUGAGGUGUAGUCAUAGUAUCUAAGACCUUAACUGAAGUGUUUAAAGAAGCCUAGGUGUAAUGGAGAACAUUAUGGGUGCUGAUUUCCACUCUGACUAAAAUAUAGUGACUUUGCUGUAUCAGCAACUAUAAAGCACUACUUGAUUCUGUAGAUUGUUACAGACCAAGAAUGUAGAAAUGAGAUAUUUGAUCUCUAGGAACUGAAUUUUUAGUGGGUAAAACAAGCAAGCAUGUAAUAGAGAA